GUAGCAUGUCAGACUCCUCUGCACAUGGAAUUUUCCAGGCCAGAACACUGAAGGUUGCAUGAGCUUCUCCAGAGGAUCUUCCCCACCCAGAAAAAAAGAAAGCAAUAUCCUGAAGAUUAUGCAUAUUUUUUUUCAAGAUUAGAAGAGAAAACAUUAUUUCUUUGGAAAAGAUCAAAGGAAAAUAGCUGGGAAGGAUAAUUACAAGGUCAGCAGGGAUUCCCUGGUGGCUCAGGUGGUAAAGAGUCUGCCUGCAAUGCAGGAGACCCGGGUUCAAAUUCUGGGUCGGGAAGAUCCCCUGGAGAAGGGAAUGGCAGCCCACUCCAGUAUUCUUGCCUGGAGAAGCCCAUGGAAGGAGGAGCCUGGUGGUCUACAGUCCUUAAGGUCGCAUAGAGUGGGACACGACUCAGCAACUUCAUUUUCAUUUAAACAUGAAAAAGAAAUUGAGUAAGAACAUCUUUGAAGACUGAGUUUCAUUUCCA
ensembl:lncRNA